UCUGAUAUGGUGUAGUAGCUAACAUUAUCGCCUCUCAUAAAUUGCGCCGACUCCUAUAAAUCCUGUGGUUGCGCGAUAGCCCGGGGUUCAAUUCCCUGUGUCAGAA